CCGUAGGGUAUGCGUGGUGAUCUGGUAAGUGUCUCGCUUAUGAGAUCACGCGUAUAUUCUCCGCC
rnacentral:pre_miRNA from 1 species